UACGAAGGGGGCUAGCGUUGCUCGGAUUGACUGGGCGUAAAGGGCGCGUAGGCGGUUUGCAUAGUCAGACGUGAAAUUCCCGGGCUUAACCUGGGGGCUGCAUUUGAUACGUGUUGUCUAGAGUGAGGAAGAGGGUUGUGGAAUUCCCAGUGUAGAGGUGAAAUUCGUAGAUAUUGGGAAGAACACCGGUGGCGAAGGCGGCAACCUGGUCCUUGACUGACGCUGAGGCGCGAAAGCGUGGGGAGCAAACAGG
rnacentral:rRNA from 1 species